rnacentral:rRNA from 1 species
AUUGAACGCUGGCGGAAUGCUUUACACAUGCAAGUCGAACGGUAGAGGGGGCAACCCCUCGAGAGUGGCGAACGGGUGAGUAAUAUAUCGGAACGUGCCCAGUCGUGGGGGAUAACGUAGCGAAAGUUACGCUAAUACCGCAUACGAUCUAAGGAUGAAAGCGGGGGAUCGCAAGACCUCGCGCGAUUCGCGCGGACGAUAUCAGAUUAGGUAGGUGGUGGGGUAAAGGCUCACCAAGCCACCGAUCUGUAGCUGGUCUGAGAGGACGACCGGCCACACUGGAACUGAGACACGGUCCAGACUCCUACGGGAGGCAGCAGUGGGGAAUUUUGGACAAUGGCCGCAAGUCUGAUCCAGCCAUUCCGCGUGCAGGAUGAAGGCCCUCGGGUUGUAAACUGCUUUUGUACGGAACGAAAAGGUCUCUCUUAAUACGGGGGACUCAUGACGGUACCGUAAGAAUAAGCACCGGCUAACUACGUGCCAGCAGCCGCCGUAA